rnacentral:rRNA from 1 species
UACAGAGGGUGCAAGCGUUAAUCGGAAUUACUGGGCGUAAAGCGCGCGUAGGUGGUUCGUUAAGUUGGAUGUGAAAGCCCCGGGCUCAACCUGGGAACUGCAUCCAAAACUGGCGAGCUAGAGUACGGUAGAGGGGGAUGGAAUUCCGCGUGUAGCAGUGAAAUGCGUAGAUAUGCGGAGGAACACCGAUGGCGAAGGCAAUCCCCUGGACCGAUAUUGACGCUGAGACGCGAAAGCGUGGGGAGCAAACAGG